ACGGAAGGCAGCAGUGGGGAAUAUUGCACAAUGGGGGAAACCCUGAUGCAGCGACGCCGCGUGAGUGAAGAAGUAUUUCGGUAUGUAAAGCUCUAUCAGCAGGGAAGAAAACAAUGACGGUACCUGACUAAGAAGCCCCGGCUAACUACGUGCCAGCAGCCGCGGUAAUACGUAGGGGGCAAGCGCUAUCCGGAUUUACUGGGUGUAAAGGGAGCGUAGGCGGUUUGGCAAGCCAGAAGUGAAAACCCGGGGCUCAACCUCGGGAUUGCUUUUGGAACUGUCGAACUAGAGUGUUGGAGAGGUAAGUGGAAUUCCUAGUGUAGCGGUGAAAUGCGUAGAUAUUAGGAGGAACACCAGUGGCGAAGGCGGCUUACUGGACAAUAACUGACGCUGAGGCUCGAAAGCGUGGGGAGCAAACAGGAUUAGAUACCCUGGUA
rnacentral:rRNA from 1 species